rnacentral:rRNA from 1 species
CUAAAAUGCACAGGUCGUGAGUUCGAUGAGUAGGGCGGGACACGUGACAUCCUGUCUGAAUAUGGGGGGACCAUCCUCCAAGGCUAAAUACUCCUGACUGACCGAUAGUGAACCAGUACCGUGAGGGAAAGGCGAAAAGAACCCCGGCGAGGGGAGUGAAAUAGAACCUGAAACCGUGUACGUACAAGCAGUGGGAGCACCUUCGUGGUGUGACUGCGUACCUUUUGUAUAAUGGGUCAGCGACUUAUAUUUUGUAGCAAGGUUAACCGUAUAGGGGAGCCGUAGGGAAACCGAGUCUUAACUGGGCGAAUAGUUGCAAGGUAUAGACCCGAAACCCGGUGAUCUAGCCAUGGGCAGGUUGAAGGUUGGGUAACACUAACUGGAGGACCGAACCGACUAAUGUUGAAAAAUUAGCGGAUGACUUGUGGCUGGGGGUGAAAGGCCAAUCAAACCGGGAGAUAGCUGGUUCUCCCCGAAAGCUAUUUAGGUAGCGCCUCGUGAACUCAUCUUCGGGGGUAGAGCACUGUUUCGGCUAGGGGGCCAUCCCGGCUUACCAAACCGAUGCAAACUCCGAAUACCGAAGAAUGUUAUCACGGGAGACACACGGCGGGUGCUAACGUCCGUCGUGAAGAGGGAAACAACCCAGACCGCCAGCUAAGGUCCCAAAGUCAUGGUUAAGUGGGAAACGAUGUGGGAAGGCACAGACAGCCAGGAUGUUGGCUUAGAAGCAGCCAUCAUUUAAAGAAAGCGUAAUAGCUCACUGGUCGAGUCGGCCUGCGCGGAAGAUGUAACGGGGCUAAACCAUGCACCGAAGCUGCGGCAGCGACGCUUA